GUAGUAAUAGAUUACUCUGGUUCAACAGUUAGUAAUGGAUUAUUCUUGUUCAUCAGGUAGUAAUAGAUUACUCUGGUUCAUCAGGUAGUAAUAGAUUACUCUGGUUCAUCAGGUAGUAAUAGAUUACUCUGGUUCAUCAGGUAGUAAUACAUUACUCUGGUUCAUCAGGUAGUAAUAGAUUACUUUGGUUCAUCAGGUAGUAAUAGAUUACUCUGGUUCAUCAGGUAGUAAUAGAUUACUCUGUUUUAUCAGGUAGUAAUGGAUUACUCUGGUUCAUCAGGUAGUAAUAGAUUACUCAUGUAUUUUAAACUCAGUCGG